rnacentral:rRNA from 1 species
UACGUAGGCAGCAAGCGUUGUUCGGAGUUACUGGGCGUAAAGGGUGUGUAGGCGGUUCUCUAAGUCUGGUGUGAAAUCUCCCGGCUCAACUGGGAGGGUGCGCCGAAAACUGGAGGGCUAGAGUGCGGGAUGGGAGAGUGGAAUUCCUGGUGUAGCGGUGAAAUGCGUAGAUAUCAGGAGGAACACCUGUGGUGUAGACGGCUCUCUGGACCGCAACUGACGCUGAGACACGAAAGCGUGGGGAGCAAACAGG